ACGAACGCUGGCGGCUGCUUAACACAUGCAAGUCGAACGGAGUGGCGAACGGGUGAGUAACGCGUGAGGAAACUGCCUAUGACAGGGGGAUAGCCUCGGGAAACCGGGAUUAAUACCGCAUAGUCAUAGAUGGGCUCGCGUCUGCUUAGCUAGGUGGUGAGAUAACAGCCCACCAAGGCGACGAUCAGUAGCCGGUAUGGGAGCAUGGACGGCCACAUUAGAACUGAGACACGGUGCAAACUCCGACGGGAGGCAGCAGUGGUGAAUAUUGCACAAUGGGGGAAACCCUGAUGCAGCGACGCCGCGUGAACGAAGAAGGUAUUCGUAUCGUAAAGUUCUGUCCUAUGGGAAGCAGUACCACAGAAGAAGCACCGGCUAACUCCGUGCCAGCAGCCGCGGUAAUAC
rnacentral:rRNA from 1 species